rnacentral:rRNA from 1 species
UACGUAGGGUGCGAGCGUUGUCCGGAAUUAUUGGGCGUAAAGAGCUCGUAGGCGGUUUGUUGCGUCGGCUGUGAAAACUCGGGGCUUAACUCUGAGCUUGCAGUCGAUACGGGCGGACUUGAGUUCGGCAGGGGAGACUGGAAUUCCUGGUGUAGCGGUGAAAUGCGCAGAUAUCAGGAGGAACACCGGUGGCGAAGGCGGUUCUCUGGGCAUUACCUGACGCUGAGGAGCGAAAGCAUGGGGAGCGAACAGG